CACCGCGGUUAUACGAGAGGCCCUAGUUGAUAACUACCGGCGUAAAGAGUGGUUAUGAAAUAAAUGUUUAAUAAAGCCGAACACCCCCUCAGCCGUCAUACGCACCUGGAGGCACGAAGACCUACUGCGAAAGCAGCUUUAAUUAUACCUGAACCCACGACAGCUACGACA
rnacentral:rRNA from 1 species